GCCACGCGCUCGCAGGUCCCAAGGCCAGGCUGGGCGGGACUGUUAAGGGAGCUCGAAGUCGGGGGCCGGGGGCUUCCCGUCCCGGCGCUUCCCAUGCAAACCCCUGAAGGAAGCGGCAGGCGCAGCCGCGGGCUCCGCAGCCCAGGCCCACUUCCUGUCACUCCAGGAAAACCUCGGAGCGGCGGACGCGGCUCGGCCCGGCUUCCAGCCCAGAGCCCAAGCGCCUUAGCCCCGUCCCAGCGCUUUCUGAAAGACGGGCCACCUCGCGCGGAGCCGCGACAAGGACUCCAGGGUCCGCAGUGAAGCUGGUCAAAUCUGCCCCGCACACGGUCAACGCUCGGUCUGUGUCCCGGAAGCUUUCGGACCGGACCUGUCUAAAUAGCGACUUUCAGUCGUGGGUUUUUUGUUCUUGUGGGUUUGUUUUGUUUUUUGUUGUUGUUGUUGCUCUACAAAAGAUUUGUCCCGCAGUGGACGGGAGCCUCCUCACGGCCGCCCGCCCGUCUCCGCAGUUCUCCUCAGUGACCGGAGGCUGCCGCGCGCCCCGUUCUCCAGAGAAACAAUCCCCGGAGAGAAAGACGGCCAGUGUGAAAUAUCAGCUGUUUCACAAAUUCUGAGAGAGCUGUAUUAUUGUCAUUUCACUGGAAUGAAUUCACCUACUGAUUAUUGAUUUAGAACUUCAUGCAAGAGUGGGGACCAGACCCAAGAUCACCACGUAAAACUGAGAUUAAGGUCUUCAGAUUGAGAGGAUUUGUACCCAAAUAGCUGUACUUAAGGAACUACAACUGAGGACCCUCAUCCGCAUCUGGACUUGAUGUAAAUGAUGGGAUUUGGACUUACAGCUGAUGCUUGAAUGGGAUGAGACUUUUGGUGGCCUUGGAAGAUGGUGAGUAUCUUUUACAUAUGGGAAGAAUGUAAAUAAUUUGUGGUCAGAGGGUGG
rnacentral:lncRNA from 1 species